ACUGAGUAGCAGUCGGCUGCAGGCUGAAGCUGGUUGGACGUCCCCAGGGACAUUCCAAACGGCGGACGUCCCCAGGGACGUUCCAAACGGCGGCCAUAUUGAUAAGGUCAAGGCUCUCGUCCAAGUUGAUAGGGUUGAUAGUGAUAGCCAUAUUGAUAGGGUCACCGGCACGAGCUCAGCCAGCCGAAGCAAGUAGCCGAAGCGGACAACAAACCUCGCAGACGAAAUCACGGAAAAUACAAUGACAGUCAAGUCUGCCUGGAGAUACAGAGCCACAAGGCCGCAGGAGAAGAUACCAGGUGAAAUGAAAGAUGUGAAUACUUGUUAGUGAUUUGAUGUAUUUGGAUAAGGCUUUGUGAUUUGGUUGCAUGGCGGUCUGAAAGAGUCAUGAGGCCUAAAGAUAAGACACGGUUUUGCACAUGGGUGAAAAUGUAUGAAAAGUAAAGUUUUAAUCUAAUGUCUUUUUAGGUAGAUGAUGAUUACGAAGAUGCAGAAGUCGGCACAUCAGAAAAACAGCUUGACGUGUUGCUGCACUUCCUUUCACCUGUAACCAAACUGUCAAUAAGUGGUUGAUGCAUGGUGUCACUAACUUGAUAUAUUUGAUUCUAGACACAUCUGGAGGGUGGCCUGCAUGAUUAACAUUUGUACACACAUACAAUCUCAAUGUGGUUUUUUCUAUAGCAGGAUAUGGAUGCUCCAUUUCAAAGUUGUGUGUUGCCGGUGGAGUGGAUUGUGCUCUUGUGUGCAGGUGUGUGUUGGUGUUCCAAGCAGACGAGCAAGGCAUGAGCAUGAGGGCCAUGGGCUAGACGUAAGGAAGCAGAUGGGCAAGUCAAAGGCCAUGAAGUAGGAACAAUGGAGACCGUGGGCGAAGAGGAGGUGGCAAGAUUAUCGGAGUGACCCUAUCAAGGCUCAAGAUUAUUCAAGCAACCCAACCUGCUUAUUUUGAGAUUUCAUGUGCUAAGAUUAAUAAAUCAUCAUUAUUAUACAAACAGUG